GGUCUGUGCUGUGGGUAUUAUCCUCAGAGACAUAGAAAACCUGAGGGUCAAAGAGGGAACGGCCUCACUCAAGGCCACUUGCCUACUUGCGUCUCAGCCUUAUUGGAAGCUCGUGCGCUGCCCAGCACCAGGAAAACCACAGAUGGGUUCAGAGAGGAGAAGCAGCCUGAGACCGCCUUAGAACCUGGGGAAGUCCUUCUGUCUUCUUCUGCAACUAAAAGACAACUAGAAAAGUGGACUUAAAAAAAAAAAAACCCAAAACUUCACAGCUGGGAAAACUCUUCAAGCUCAACCAUUCAGUGCUCCUGUUGCACAGACAGGAAGACUGAGGCUCUGAGGAAACGGAGGGGGAAAUGGGAGAGAAUUUUACAGUGCCUCUCUCUGUUAACCCCCUAGACCAUACAAUUAUAAUGUCACUGUAUUUGUUUUAUCACACAUCUAUCCAUUCUAGGGCUCUUUUAAAAUAACCCUGAUUUGAAUCUUUCAGGAGCAAGGAAGUGGCUGUAUGGUGAUGAGGAGCAGGGGGAGGAAAUGGUUGGUUUCCCAACAGAAGCAUUGCUUCCAUUUUAUUAUCUUAUGGGAAAUCUAAAUUAAAAAAAGUUUAUUAAUUUUUUUUAACUUUGGGAACAAGAAAAGAAUUUUCAAUCUGUAAUAUUCUUAUUAAUUUCAGGGCCAGAUGAAGGGAGAGUGAAGAUCAUUUGUCAUAAUGUCACCCUAUAAACAUUUUGAAGAGCUUCUGUUUCUAUAAAGCAUAAAUACUUCUCUGUUGGGAAAGACAGAAGCAGUGUUUUCUGAUUAGAAGGAGAGUUUGCUGGAGCUACAGGAGUAUGGAAGCAGUUUCAGAAACAUCGUUGUGAGGAAUCUCUGGCAGACAGAAUUCAAACAAGUGUCACGGGAAAUGGGUUACAGCCUUCACAGGACAUGCAUGCUAAUGUACCAGCAUGGAACGUAGUUCCGAUGUUUGAUGGGAUUCUCAGGUCACCCAGGGACCAGGAAAGUGGUGCAGCUGGCUUAAGGUAUC